UAUAUUUGCCGCUUGAAAGAUAAGCUUUCAUAUACAUAACAAUCAUUUACAACAAUAUUAGAAUG
ncrna:Lacinutrix sp. Hel_I_90 S15-Flavobacteria ribosomal protein leader